AAUUACUGACCUAAGAUUCUAACUCCAAUCUUCUGAUUCCAAAGCCUUUGUUACUUGCUCCACCCCACAACUGCCUCACAAGCAUCCCAGAGUCCAGUCAGCAGACAGCAGAAGAGACUGUCAGCAGACCACCUUGGAGGGGAUGCUUGGAGCUGCCUAACGUGUGAUUCAAAGAUGAAUUCCAUGUGUUUGGAGAAGAAGCCCUAGCCUCAACACAAAGGUUGGCCACAUUCCAGCCAAGGUAGCACGGAGUGAAGGCCCGUGGAGGGAGAGCUGGGCUUUUCUGAACUACUUCAGUACACCUUGCUGUGCCUUGGCCUGCCGUGUUUCAUCCCCAUGGCUGUCCUCAGUGAUGUGCAUGGUCACUGCUCCCUUCACCACUGAGAAGACGGGCACAGGACAGUCAGGGGAUGUGUCCAAGGUCCCACAGCAGGAAGGGCUGGAGCCAGAAUGUGGUCUGAGAGGCUGGAUAUACAAAGAGACAAUGGCAUGACCAUCUGUACAAAUGGAACUAUGGCCCACAACCUGCAGCAGCCAGCCCAGGAAGCCAACCCGUCACCUGCAGCAGCCAGGAUGGAUGCUGGCCUGCCCUCAGGUGCCCUUGUUGGAGAACAUGGGGGGCCAAAUUCCAAACGUGGCAAGAGAUAACAAAUGACUUGUCUGGUGGCUGAACCCUGAGCUGGGAGCACUGCCUGGAGAAAACUCUGAUACUCAAGUCUAGUUUUAUAUGGCUCCAAACGCCUCCACCAUGAGCUCAAGGCAGUGAGACUGACUGAAAAACCCUCUCUAUUACAGACCACAACAUUGAACCCAACAUCCCCCUAAGUAGGUUGUACUCACAUCAUUGGUCUUAUGGGGAAAUUUUAAGACCUCCCACUUGUAAGGUUUUAUAGCCCUCUAUGGAAUAUUGAAGAAAGAGUAAAAUGCAUCCAAAAAAAAAAAAAAACACUAAACUGGAUAAAUUCUAAGGCCUCUUCAGGUCUUAAGAUGGCCAUUUUCUAGGUCCUCUUGCUGCAGCAGUGAAAUCCACAAACACGGACAAGUCAGUCAGUUACGUGCCUUUCAGAGAAAACUUCUGACUUAGGAAUUCCAGCUAUUUGGCCCAACCCAUAUUAGAUUGUGUUAUAAAGACAUGGUAAAUUACAUCACGAAGGGAAGAGCAGAGGAAACAUAAUAUUCCUUCAAGACCCAUCAGCUCAGAUGUUAGCAGAACACCCCUAAGGAGGAAAACAAGAAAUUUUGGGUUUGAACUUGGUACUUCCCAGCAGCCCUGGGAGUGGGGUCAGAAGCCCUGCUGGGGGCCAAAGAACUCUGAGGAUCAAAGAUGUUGAGCAUCACCUUAGAGGCCAAAGAUCAGAACAGUGGAGGUGGCCUUUGAAGCCCAACCUGUCUUUCACCAGAGAGUGAGAACGGCCUCUAUUUCCAGGAAGCUCACUGCAGCAAUAAUCAUGAUGCUCUGAGCCUGACAAGGUGAGAAUUUACUUUCAGCACCUGCAAUAGUUUCCUAUUAAAGUUACAUAUGAAACCCUGCCGUCUUGUACCAACUAAUGUUCACACCAGCGUUCCUAUUUUCAAGAUAAAUUGCAAAAUAAAAACUCUUGUUUUCGUUAGCAAAAGAAAACUUCUUUAGGAGGAUAAAAGGGAGAUGAAGAAACAGAAAACACAUCAGCUCUCCAUCCAGAUUACAGAAAGCAGAAAACAUCCUGAAGUGAAUAACAUAGGAAUCGCUCUUUUUCCCCCCUGAGAUAGCAGGUUACUUAUGAGAAACAAGCUUGAAAUCUCUGCACCUGGACCAGCUUCCAGAGGCUUUUGUCCUGACCAGCUGGCUUUGGGGAAGUAAAGGAAACCAGAGAAGAAGAGGCUGAAAGAAUUGGUUUCCACCGUGACCUUUGAACCCUCGGGCGAGUUGUCAGCCUCACUGAGGAUGAGUGUACUCCAUAUCAAGUGAGGUCACUUUACUCGCAAGCUUGUUGUGAGGACUGAAUGAAACCUUUUCUUUUUUCUUGGAGUUUCAGAGCAACGUCCCUGAGCCCAGCCCCACACUGGCUUGAGCCCUGUCGUCGGUCAAGACACGGUGCUUUCUCCCCUCCCCUCUGCACUCCAGCUUACUCUGCAGUCAGGAGGUGGCACCACGAUCCCCUUUAAGACUUUGCCACUUGGGCCAGCUGCGCCCCUGUGAAAUUCCCUGUUUCUAUUGCAGGCCACAAGGACGAGCUGAGAAAUGGCUUCCAGUCACCAUCUAGAUUAGAAAGCCUAUAUUUCAAAUAUAGAUAUAUCAAUUAUGCCUGUAAAAAGACAUUAAAUCCCACAGGGCUGUAAUUCCUAGACUCUACGAAUUUCAUCUUGCACCAAAUUUUAUUAUUUCAUUUAUAAUUCGGAUUCUUCAAAUCUAAGAGUGCCUGGCUCAAAAUUAAAAUACCUACAACUAUGCCAAAACUGGACUCUUUAAUUGCCUUACUGGAACCAGUAGCUGAUUCAAAGCAAAACGAAACAAAAUUCCUCCUUUCUCUGAUUUAGUGAAUCAAUGAUCUAACUGAACUCAUUUUUGGACUGAGUUUGCGGCACUUGCAGCCCUGAGGGACACAUUCCCCCACCACACUGAGCCUGCACUCCCAUCAAUGCAAAUGAACAUUUUGCUUAUUCAGAUUGGGGGGGUGAAGGAAGUCACAAAAGGGUUAAUACAUAUGGCAUUUCAUUGUAAUAUGUACUCACUACUAACUAAAUUAAAAGAGAUGUGAGUUAUUAAAAACUCCAUCUUAAGAAAGUAACAGAAAUCAGAGUUCAGAUUCGUUGUUACUGAGUUUCCAACCAACACCUGUGAGUUAAACCUACGGCCACCCUGAAAACGGUUCAUAUUUUCAAAAGCUUCAUCGAAGAUGAGCUGCACUAAAGAUUCAUAUUACAUAUCAUGCUGCAAUAAGAAAAUCAAAUAAGGCCUUUCCAUAUUCAAUAAUAAAGUUUAAAGAAAAGUAAUAUUUGUUUAGCCAGUUAGCCAGAAAUUAGAUGUAUCAGAAUACAUCAUUCUUUGAGCAUUUUAGAAAAAUCAGGGUAUUUCUACAUUGUGUUUUUCUUUGUAAGCCCUCAAAAAAUAUAGAGAAUAUUCUUGAAAUUAUAGUGUUUGUCUUCUGGAACAAAAAAUACUAAUCAAGGAAAUCUACAAAUUUAAUGGUUUAUUGAGUUUCCACAGGAAACACUGUGUGAGGAGGCUGAGGCUUAGAAGUUCAAAAACUAAAAGGAUUGUUAUGAUUUCGAUAAUAAUAUCUUAUGUCUGCACAACAUCUGAACUCAGUUCUUUCCUGAGGUUCUCUCAUUCUUCAAGCAGCCUCUGAGGUAGGCAGGAGCGAUAAUAUCGGUUCCAUUUUACAGUUAGGAAAACAGAGGCUCACAGAGUCCCAAGGCUUAGCGGGAACGUCCGCCCUGCUCUCUGGGUUCUGAAGAACACAGUCGUGAAGGAUGUAAGCCAUUUCACAUUUUAAGACGAAACAGAUAACUUGUGCUAAAUGCAUGUCCCAGCCCUGCCCUGAGGGCAGGUGGGCACCCGGUGGCCUGCAGGGCUGACAAUUGUGAGAGGGAAGCAAGCUGGGGAGGCUCCCUGGAGAGCUGGUGCAGAGCCUGGAGGACAAGGAAGAUGUGGGGCACGCGGAGAAGGAGACAAGGAAGUCGAAGCGGGUAAGGGCGCAGGAGGCCGGAUUUCCUGUGAUGCUGGACACGUGGCAGGACGCGGGGAGAGCCCGUGGUGCUGCAGGGUGGCAUGGGAAGCCCUGGAAGGUUGCCUGCUCUGCAGCAGCUGGAGGGAGCAAGACAGCCCUGUGGCUGGCAGGGUCAGAAGAAAUCUAAGAGGACUAAGAGCCAUAGCCUGCCCUCGAACUCAGGUGUGCUGUCUCCGAUUCAGGCGAAACUCAGGGUUCACCACUGAGAGACGUUUCACCCGGCCCUCAUGGUGCCCUCCUCAGGGUUCCACGGAAUCCUAACGCACGCUCCUCGUUUCAUUUUAGGCUUUGCAUUAAUUUCAACCUGUUCAAGACAUGAAAGCACUAGAGAGCUGAAAAAUUUUUGGAGGACUCCUUUCAAAUGUCAUGCUGCCAAGGCUCCCUGCUGCCUUUUCCAUAUUUAAUCAAAAGCACUCGGUUGCCUGCUUUCAAAGUCGUUAGUGCCAAGCCUCCUGCCCAACAGCCCUAAGCUGCAGCCCUUCAAAGUGCUGGGUGGACUGACCUCAGCCAAUCAGCCAAUCAGACAGCGUUGAGAAAUUCAGACCUUAAUGCUGAGUGAAUGCCCAGUGUCAUUUGUAGCUGAAUGCAGCCGUGUAAUGGGUGCUGGGUGAUUAUCUGUAAUGUAUGGAAAGCAAGAUGAGAAUCUCUUUUUACUCCUUCCCUUACUGUUUUCUAAUCUAAUUGACAAAGAGCUCAGGGAAGUGCAGUAAAAAUUCUUCUCUAGUCAGUGGGUGAAUUUUUUUUUUUUUAAUGUGAGAACAAUCAAAAAGUAUGAAGGAGAAUGAGCUGGA
rnacentral:lncRNA from 1 species